UACGUAGGGACCGAGCGUUGUCCGGAUUCAUUGGGCGUAAAGAGCUCGUAGGCGGCCACUCAAGUCGAAUGUGAAACCUCGAGGCUUAACCUCGAGCCUGCAUUCGAUACUGGGCGGCUAGAGUCUGGUAGGGGGAUCUGGAAUUCCUGGUGUAGCGGUGGAAUGCGCAGAUAUCAGGAGGAACACCGGUGGCGAAGGCAGGUCUCUGGGCCACUACUGACGCUGAGAAGCGAAAGCGUGGGGAGCGAACAGG
rnacentral:rRNA from 1 species